rnacentral:rRNA from 1 species
GACGAACGCUGGCGGCAUGCCUUACACAUGCAAGUCGAACGGUAACAGGUCUUCGGACGCUGACGAGUGGCGAACGGGUGAGUAAUACAUCGGAACGUGCCCAGUCGUGGGGGAUAACUACUCGAAAGAGUAGCUAAUACCGCAUACGAUCUGAGGAUGAAAGCGGGGGACCUUCGGGCCUCGCGCGAUUGGAGCGGCCGAUGGCAGAUUAGGUAGUUGGUGGGAUAAAAGCUUACCAAGCCGACGAUCUGUAGCUGGUCUGAGAGGACGACCAGCCACACUGGGACUGAGACACGGCCCAG